rnacentral:rRNA from 1 species
CGACAGCAAUAUGAAGGUCAGGCUGAAGACCUUACCCGAUUAGCUGAGAGGUGGUGCAUGGCCGUCGUCAGUUCGUACUGUGAAGCAUCCUGUUAAGUCAGGCAACGAGCGAGACCCACGUCCACAGUUGCCAGCAUACCCUCCGGGGUGAUGGGUACACUGUGGAGACCGCCGCUGCUAAAGCGGGGGAAGGAGUGGGCAACGGUAGGUCAGUAUGCCCCGAAUCUCCCGGGCUACACGCGGGCUACAAUGGUUGGUACAAUGGGCAUCUACCCCGAAAGGGGAAGGAAAUCUCUUAAAGCCAAUCGUAGUUCGGAUUGAGGGCUGCAACUCGCCCUCAUGAAGCUGGAAUCCGUAGUAAUCGCGUUUCAACAGAACGCGGUGAAUACGUCCCUGCUCCUU